UACGUAGGGUGCAGGCGUUAAUCGGAAUUACUGGGCGUAAAGCGUGCGCAGGCGGUUUGCUAAGAGAGAUGUGAAAUCCCCGGGCUUAACCUGGGAACUGCGUUUCUAACUGGCAGGCUUGAGUGUGGCAGAGGGGGGUGGAAUUCCACGUGUAGCAGUGAAAUGCGUAGAGAUGUGGAGGAACACCGAUGGCGAAGGCAGCCCCCUGGGCUAACACUGACGCUCAUGCACGAAAGCGUGGGGAACAAACAGG
rnacentral:rRNA from 1 species